AUAAAAAGAAGAAGAUGAAGAAUAAAUUAAUUAAAAAUGAAUUAAAAUCCGAGUCGGUGUGCAGGCGGAAGGCGGGUCACUCCAGGCUGCUGCAGUCGUCGUCACUGUCGCUGCUAGUUGUAUCAUGAUCCAGGAUGACCGGGGAAGGACUCGGAGGAGGAAGACUGAACUGCUGGGGACCUGGAAUGUAGAAGAUCAUCGUUAAGCGUACAAUUUGGUGACAUGGGUAAAGCUCCAACUGUAAAAGGUUCAGCACAUCCCUCUUGCCCCUCAAACGCUUCAAGAGAAAGCUAUGAGGCAAAAGCCAGCUUCUUCCCUCCUCUGCCAAGCCAGUUGAAUUUCAGCGCAAAGUGGUUGGAGAGGAUGUGGCGAAGGAUUCUUCGAACCGCGUCACCAGGAUUGCAGCCCCCAAGCGCACUAAGGUGUGCUGCCUGCAGUAAGGGCCUGGAGGAGGAGGUUGUUCUGCCUCACCAAGGCCUUCAACUCCUCCACAGCACGCAGGAGUGCAUGAUCCCGUUCUACAGGACAGAAAAACAUCAUGACUGUCAUGUCAAGAGGUGCUCCUGGUUUGGGCUUUUUUCAGGUUCAUACGCGCUGCAUCAUAAUUGGCUGUUGAAGACAACAAUGAAGUCUCAUCUGGCAUAGCGCUUUGGAUGACUGCAAUUUUCGUCCGCUUGGUGUCUUUAUACGGUGGCCAAAAAGACACCUUGCCGUCCAAACUUAGCCACGAGCAAGGCACAACCUCCACCUCGUUUGACUCGGUUCCCAACCACAGCUGUCCCCAGUGCAGUUGAAUCAACAGGGUGGUUGAAAAAUGGACGUUGGUCUAAAUAUUGCCUCGCCACAAAAGACGUACCACCAAGUGUCCUGCUAAUUGCCUCUAUUUUAAAAGUGGCACCACCACACGAAACUGUGUUGUUCCCAUCCUUUGUGGACAGGGUAAAUCUAUCAGUGGCGUACUGUGUUGUUGAGGGUGAACUUUGGUUAUGGGAAGAUGGACAGACUGGGUUGAUGCUUGAUUUUUCCGUUAAUCGUUUAACAAUUUGUUGUAAUGUCUGGUUUGGCUUUCUAAUUAGUUUCUUUAAUUUAUACAAGAAAUUUUCGAAGGGAAAGGCUGAAAUUUGGGGUAGUGGGCCAUAUUUUCUA